rnacentral:rRNA from 1 species
GGGCCCGCACAAGCGGAGGAACAUGUGGUUUAAUUCGAUGAUACGCGAGGAACCUUACCCGGGCUUGAAUUGCUGAGGAAAGCUCCAGAGAUGGAGCUGCCCUUCGGGGCCUCAGUGAAGGUGCUGCAUGGUUGUCGUCAGCUCGUGCCGUGAGGUGUCGGCUUAAGUGCCAUAACGAGCGCAACCCCUCUCUUCAGUUGCCAUCAGGUCAAGCUGGGCACUCUGGAGACACUGCCACCGUAAGGUGUGAGGAAGGUGGGGAUGACGUCAAAUCAGCACGGCCCUUACGUCCGGGGCUACACACGUGUUACAAUGGGUGGUACAGAGAGUUGGGUGCGCGCAAGCUCACCCUAAUCAAGAAAUCCAUCCUCAGUUCGGACUGGGGUCUGCAACCCGACCCCACGAAGCUGGAUUCGCUAGUAAUCGCGCAUCAGCCAUGGCGCGGUGAAUACGUUCCCGGGCCUU